CAUACGGCCUGAGGGCGAAAGAUUUAUCGCUCUAGGAGGGGCCCGCGUCGGAUUAGCUUGUUGGCGGGGUAACGGCCCACCAAGGCUAUGAUCCGUAGCUGGUCUGAGAGGAUGAUCAGCCACACUGGGACUGAGACACGGCCCAGACUCCUACGGGAGGCAGCAGUGGGGAAUAUUGGACAAUGGGCGCAAGCCUGAUCCAGCAAUGCCGCGUGAGUGAUGAAGGCCUUAGGGUUGUAA
rnacentral:rRNA from 1 species